AUGGGAACGGCACGACCGCAAAUCCGACUCGCCUUCGGGCUCUGGGAUUGCGGUAGUGC
rnacentral:ncRNA from 1 species